CAAAGAGGGGCAGACGGGGCAAACUCUAUAUUUUAAUGUAAGACGACACCAAAGAUUGUGGAUGAUUUAAGAUGUCUUACUCAGGCCAUUUACCAUUCGAAGAAAUGGUCACAGCUCCGGUGUGCAUUAAGGGGGUAGCUCUCCCAUAGGCACCAAUGCGAUUGCAACUGGGUCUGGUCUGCUUAGUUCAUUGACUGUGUAUGAAUCAGAAAAUAAGAUUGGGAUGUCUCGCUUUCUCUUCCGUCUCUGACACCCACUUGACUUCCUCUGUUGUUUCCAUGACAGCUGGCAGCAGAGAGAGGACAUAGGGGCCUAAGAAGGGAGGCCUACUCUUAACAUCACCCAUCCAGCAGGAUACUUACUGUAAACAAUGGCUAACCCCACCCCCAAUCUCCAGCUUCAGCCAGGUUGUUCACACAGGCCCUGGAGCAGCCAGUUUGGUCGACACUCGGUCCAGAAGGGGGGCUGCAAGGCUGAGUCCUGGGGCCAGUCCAGAUAGGUCCUGGUCUUGACCAGUCUUGCCAGACGGCUUGACCAGUCUUGCCAGUGGCUGAAGGGGAUGUCCUCAAGGAAGACCAGGAUGAGGAUGUUCCUGUGCUCCACCAGCAGACGGAGGGUGGCCAGGCGUAGCUUUAAAGAGCACCAGUUACUGCACAGGUUGUGACGACUCAUGGAGUAGCAGCUGCCAUAG
rnacentral:lncRNA from 1 species